rnacentral:misc_RNA from 1 species
GAAAUGCGAUAAGUAAUGUGAAUUGCAGAAUUCAGUGAAUCAUCGAAUCUUUGAACGCACAUUGCGCCCGCCAGUAUUCUGGCGGGCAUGCCUGUUCGAGCGUCAUUUCAACCAUCAAGCCCCCGGCUUGUGUUGGGGACCUGCGGCUGCCCGCAGGCCCUGAAAACCAGUGGUGGGCUCGCUGUCACACCGAGUGUAGUAGCAUACAUCUCGCUCAGGGCGUGCUGCGGGUUCCGGCCGUUAAAAGCCUUUUUUACCCAAGGUUGACCUCGGAUCAGGUAGGAAGACCCGCUGAACUUAAGC